ACCGCCACUCCCGCCUGCGCCUUCCCCGGCGAGUGCAGGUCCUGGCACCCUCCCAGUCCAUCCCGGGAGGUCUGCGCCCGGCGCGCGCCCGCCUGGGGCAGGGCUGCCCCUGGUCUAGGGAAGGCUUACGCUGUCUCUCCCGCGGGUUUAUUGAGCCUGUCUCUGGGAACUUAAUAAGUAAAGGAGGGGAGAGCUGUGGCCAGCGCCUGAUGCUGUGAGCAUGUAACAGGGAAACCCAGUUUAGACUGCAGUCAGAAAGGCUGUUUUGAAUGGCUUUGACAUUUGAGGGAAGGUGGGGGAAACUCCUCACUCAACGGAGAUGGAAGGGAUCACGGAUGACCCCGAGGUGGCCAUUCUCCAACAACCGGAUGGAUUUGAGCACCGUUCUCCAAGAUAAAGAGGCUUGAGAAGUUUGGCAGGGAAGUGGUGAAGAUCAAGACGCUUUGGCAUCUUGUCUGUCCAAGGCGCUUUGGACCUGUGAAUCCGAGGAGAAAUGACAUCUACAUAGAUGGGUAUGUGGGGCUGAAGCUCACCAAGAGUGACAAGGCUGGAGAUAGUGAUCGGUAUUGGAAUACUGAUGGUAUUUGAAGCCGUGGAAUUGGAUGGCAUUGCCUCACAUAGUGAAAAAAAAUGAAAAAACCAACCUGCAGAGGCUGGGAAGAGGAAUCAGUAAGGGACAACAAGCAGAGCCAGCCAGAGAAGUACACAGAAACCUACGGGUGGGGGAGGCCUCUGGGGCUGAGUGAAGAACUGCUUCAGGAGAUGGGGAUCACAGAAUCCUUCCACCCACGUCCUGCCGUCACCUAUCUGCAUACCUGCGGAAGACCCAUCCCACCCGUGCUGUCCCCCCAACCGCUCCCCUGCGACCAUUCUUCACCACCUCCAGGACCCUCCUUUGUCCUACCUUUUCUGCCCAGUCUAUUGCCCCCUCCUUCCCUUCCCUCCUCAUCCAGCUGCAAUUCCGUGUUCCUCCACGCCAGUACUGGUUUUGCCCUUACCCUCAACAUCCUUGCUCCUCGGUCCUUGUCGCACUCGCCUGACAGAUUCUGAGCCCAGAUGCACCCCACCUGCGUUCUCUGCAGCUGCCCCUGCAGGAGGAGCCACACAGCCUGCAGCGGCACUGGUAGCGCAAGCGGCCCUCGGCCCUGCCUGGCUCUCCUCCAUUCCCUGCGAAGACACUGCCAAGCCUUCUCCGCUCUCCUCAGCCUGCCUGCAGCCCUUCCCAGACACCUACCUGGCCUCUGCUUAUGGAGAAAAGUGAAGUCCUCAGAUGGUAGCGCAUGGUCCAGCCCACCAUUGCUGCCCCUCCGCCCUUCCUAGCCUCCAUGGAGCCAGAAAAAUGCCUGUCCUGCCCAAGAAAGUUUUCAGAUCCCAUUUUGCACUUUCUCGGAAAACUUAAGGUGUUGAUUAUCACACCUCUCCUCACAUCCUGGCUCCUAGAAACAGUCUUUCACUUUGCUGCUCUCUUCUUAAAAAUACAACUGAGCUGAAGACAAACACAAAAAACCUUUCCUGAAACCCUUAUGUGUCUCCAGCUAUAACUCCCUUUUUCUCCUUCACAGCACACUUCUCCGAAGAAUUGUGAUGCUCUGCCCCCACUUCCCCAACCUUACCCUACUCAUCUGGCUUCGGCCCCAUCACUGGAAACAGAAGAGCUCUCAUGAAGGUCCCCAGGGAGCUCCAUGUCACUAUGUUCAUGACAAUUUUUCAGUCAUUUUAUGGAUUUCCCAGACGGACUCCAUACCUUUUAAUCACUCCCUCAUUCUCAUGAGACUUUGUUGAUACUUAUGUUGGUCAUUACUUGAGUAAAUCUGUUCCUGUUGUACACGA